AAAGGGACCCCCAGAUAUGUUCUUCUCUAAGCUCUAAACUCUAUCUCGAAAGGCCAAAGCACACCCAACUCUGAUUUAGACUUUCCUUGCAGGUCCCGACGGCGGACGCAAUCCCCUCGACUCCAGCUUCUCUGACAUCGGCAAAAUUCAGCACCAACAUAAUUGAUGCUAGAAGGAGGGCGUGUGUCUUCGCAGUACCCUUAUUCUUAAAGGAGUAC
rnacentral:lncRNA from 1 species